CAGUCGCCGCGGGAAUACAGAGGGUGCGAGCGUUAAUCGGAUUUACUGGGCGUAAAGCGUGCGUAGGCGGCUUUUUAAGUCGGAUGUGAAAUCCCUGAGCUUAACUUAGGAAUUGCAUUCGAUACUGGGAAGCUAGAGUAUGGGAGAGGAUGGUAGAAUUCCAGGUGUAGCGGUGAAAUGCGUAGAGAUCUGGAGGAAUACCGAUGGCGAAGGCAGCCAUCUGGCCUAAUACUGACGCUGAGGUACGAAAGCAUGGGGAGCAAACAGGAUUAGAUACCCCGGUAGUCCCUGUCUCUUAUAC
rnacentral:rRNA from 1 species